AUUGACCGCUGGCUGCAGGCCUAACACAUGCAAGUCGAGCGAGCGGCGUACGGGUGAGUAAUGUAUGGGGACUGCCCGAUAGAGGGGGAUAACUACUGGCAACGGUGGCUAAUCCCGCAUACUAUCGGAUAACCCAUAUGGGAUUAGCUAGUCGGUGGGGUAAAGGCUCACCUAGGCGACGAUCUCUAGCUGGUCUGAGAGGAUGAUCAGCCACACUGGGACUGAGACACUGCCCAGACUCCUACGGAGGCAGCAGUGGGGAAUAGUGCACAAUGGGCGCAAGCCUGAUGCAGCCAUGCCGCGUGUAUGAAGAAGGCCUUAGGGUUGUAAACGCCUUUCACCAUCGACGCGGUAGAUGGAGAAGAAGCACCGGCUAACUACGUGCCAGCAGCCGCGGUAAUUC
rnacentral:rRNA from 1 species